AGAGGUUGCACAGAAAAGGCUGCAGGAGAAGGUAGGCGGCGACCGCUGAAGGGUGAAAAGAAUGACUGAGGAGCGAAGAGGAAACACCAAGAAGUGAUGAGGUGCCAGGAGGAUGGAGAGCUAUUGUGGAACACGCCAUGGAAGAGGUUCUGUUGGUGUCCACCUGCCCUCUGCCUGAAAGGGAGCUGUGGAGGAAGGAAGGCUGCGACAGGGAAUGAGAAAGACCAUGUAAGGAAAAGAACUGAAUUUAACUGGCACAUGCUCUAAUCCUUAGUUUAUUUCUGGUUAAAAAUAUAGCAAUCCAGUGCAGUGUAAUAAGAAAUCUGCUGAAAAGGUAGCAGAGAAACAGCUAAAACAGAAGCGAAGCGAAGCGGAGUCCGCUGCUCCCCACAGCAUUGCAUGUGGCACGCAGAGCAGGGCCCCCGUGGGUCACAUCCUGCCUCGGGGGCACAGGGUUGUGUCCUUGGCCAUGGCCAACCCAAACCGUGUCAGUGGGGGCUGGGAGGAGACGUGGCAGGGCAGGGGAGCACAGGGGACCGGGCGUGGGGUCAUCAGCCUUUACCAAGCCAGGACCACACUCCUGUGAUUGGGACCAUAACAGCUCAGAACAGGGAUACGGCAUCUUUAAUGAGUAUGCAUUAUUAUCGGUGGGGAGAGGGGAGGGGAGAAAAUCAAGGCAGGCAUAUUACAAAGAUGGUAUAAACAAACAAAUUAAGUGACAUAGAAAAGAAAGAAAAGAAUACAUCCUUAGAGGCUGCCAUUGCCAAUGAUGUUGCUUUUUUCUUUUUUUUUCCUCUUUUUUUCUUUUUUUCUUUCUUUUUUUUUUUUUUUACAGGGACAUGUUGGAAGCUGGAAUAUACAUCCUGCAUUACAAAGUGCAAAAUACUACAUGCUCAGAGCCCAAGCAUGAUGUCUGAAACAGUCCACGGCAAGAUGUAAGAGACAAACCCACCACCCUCUCCCUCCUCUCUGGGACAUGCUCCAGUGCCCCUCCCCAGGUGCCUUGUAAAAAAAAAAAAAAAAAAAAAAAAAAAAUUAAUCUUAUUUUGCUUAAUUUUACUAUUAUUGAUAUAUUCUUGUUUUUGUACUAGGUGGGUCGGAAUCGAGCCCUCUCUCGCCGCCCGUCUGCUCCCCGGCAUCUCUGUGCAUGUACGUGGUUGGGAUGGGAUGCUCAGCUCCACUCGUGUCGCUGGAGAUGCCUGCGUGUGGUUGGGGGCCCUGGGCAUGGUACCAACCCAGAAGGAAGAGCUGUGAGCAGCACUCAGCCCUGGGAGGUGUGCCAGCCCUGCUGCGUGGGGAGGGGGUAGGAGGGGGCAGGAGUGUUCCCCCAUGCCCUAAGGAGUUCUACAAAGACACGGAUUGCAGCUUGGUUUUUGACAAUCCCAUCCUUCACAUCCCGGCAGGGCUUUGGCCUUCCUGUGCUCCUCUCCUCCGUUCACAACCUGCUCUGGCUUUUGUCUCCUAUUUUCUCUAUUGUGAAAGCUGUCGGAUCCCCCCCCAGGAAGCUCAGCCCGGAGCAUCCCGGGAUCCACACACCCUCACACCCA